UACGUAGGGCGCAAGCGUUAUCCGGAAUUAUUGGGCGUAAAGAGCUCGUAGGCGGUUUGUCGCGUCUGCCGUGAAAGUCCGGGGCUCAACCCCGGACUUGCGGUGGGUACGGGCAGACUAGAGUGUGGUAGGGGAGACUGGAAUUCCUGGUGUAGCGGUGAAAUGCGCAGAUAUCAGGAGGAACACCGGUGGCGAAGGCGGUUCUCUGGGCAUUACCUGACGCUGAGGAGCGAAAGUGUGGGGAGCGAACAGG
rnacentral:rRNA from 1 species